rnacentral:rRNA from 1 species
UACGUAGGGGGCAAGCGUUGUCCGGAUUUAUUGGGCGUAAAGAGCGUGUAGGCGGCCAGGUAGGUCUGCUGUGAAAACUCGAGGCUUAACCUCGAGCUGUCGGCGGAAACCAUCUGGCUAGAGUCCGGAAGAGGCGAGUGGAAUUCCUGGUGUAGCGGUGAAAUGCGCAGAUAUCAGGAGGAACACCGAUGGCGAAGGCGGCAUUCUGGACCGACAUUGACGCUGAGGAGCGAAAGCCAGGGGAGCAAACGGG